rnacentral:rRNA from 1 species
UAGGGAAUCUUCGGCAAUGGACGGAAGUCUGACCGAGCAACGCCGCGUGAGUGAAGAAGGUUUUCGGAUCGUAAAGCUCUGUUGUAAGAGAAGAACGAGUGUGAGAGUGAAAAGUUCACACUGUGACGGUAUCUUACCAGAAAGGGACGGCUAACUACGUGCCAGCAGCCGCGGUAAUACGUAGGUCCCGAGCGUUGUCCGGAUUUAUUGGGCGUAAAGCGAGCGCAGGCGGUUAGAUAAGUCUGAAGUUAAAGGCUGUGGCUUAACCAUAGUACGCUUUGGAAACUGUUUAACUUGAGUGCAAGAGGGGAGAGUGGAAUUCCAUGUGUAGCGGUGAAAUGCGUAGAUAUAUGGAGGAACACCGGUGGCGAAAGCGGCUCUCUGGCUUGUAACUGACGCUGAGGCUCGAAAGCGUGGGGAGCAAACAGGAUUAGAUACCCUGGUAGUCCACGCUGUAAACGAUGAGUGCUAGGUGUUAGACCCUUUCCGGGGUUUAGUGCCGUAGCUAACGCAUUAAGCACUCCGCCUGGGGAGUACGACCGCAAGGUUG